AACGAUCCUAGCUUGCUAGGAGGCGUCGAGCGGCGGACGGGUGAGUAAUGCAUAGGAAUCUGCCCGGUAGUGGGGGAUAACCUGAGGAAACUCAGGCUAAUACCGCAUACGUCCUACGGGAGAAAGCAGGGGCUCUUCGGACCUUGCGCUAUCGGAUGAGCUUAUGUCGGAUUAGCUGGUUGGUGAGGUAACGGCUCACCAAGGCGACGAUCCGUAGCUGGUCUGAGAGGAUGAUCAGCCACAUCGGGACUGAGACACGGCCCGAACUCCUACGGGAGGCAGCAGUGGGGAAUAUUGGACAAUGGGGGCAACCCUGAUCCAGCCAUGCCGCGUGUGUGAAGAAGGCCCUCGGGUUGUAAAGCACUUUCAGUGAGGAAGAAGGCUUGUCGGUUAAUACCCGGCAAGAAAGACAUCACUCACAGAAGAAGCACCGGCUAACUCCGUGCCAGCAGCCGCGGUAAUACGGAGGGUGCGAGCGUUAAUCGGAAUUACUGGGCGUAAAGCGUGCGUAGGCGGCUUGAUAAGCCGGUUGUGAAAGCCCCGGGCUCAACCUGGGAACGGCAUCCGGAACUGUCAGGCUAGAGUGCAGGAGAGGAAGGUAGAAUUCCCGGUGUAGCGGUGAAAUGCGUAGAGAUCGGGAGGAAUACCAGUGGCGAAGGCGGCCUUCUGGACUGACACUGACGCUGAGGUACGAAAGCGUGGGUAGCAAACAGGAUUAGAUACCCUGGUAGUCCACGCCGUAAACGAUGUCGACUAGCCGUUGGGGUCCUCGAGACCUUUGUGGCGCAGUUAACGCACUAAGUCGACCGCCUGGGGAGUACGGCCGCAAGGUUAAAACUCAAAUGAAUUGACGGGGGCCCGCACAAGCGGUGGAGCAUG
rnacentral:rRNA from 1 species